ACACUCCUGCGGGAGGCAGCAGUGAGGAAUAUUGGACAAUGGGUGGAAGCCUGAUCCAGCCAUCCCGCGUGCAGGAAGACGGCCCUAUGGGUUGUAAACUGCUUUUAUCUGGGGAUAAACCUACUUACGUGUAAGUAGCUGAAGGUACCAGAAGAAUAAGCACCGGCUAACUCCGUGCCAGCAGCCGCGGUAAUACGGAGGGUGCAAGCGUUAUCCGGAUUUAUUGGGUUUAAAGGGUCCGUAGGCGGACUGAUAAGUCAGUGGUGAAAUCCGACAGCUUAACUGUCGAACUGCCAUUGAUACUGUUAGUCUUGAGUAAGGUUGAAGUGGCUGGAAUAAGUAGUGUAGCGGUGAAAUGCAUAGAUAUUACUUAGAACACCAAUUGCGAAGGCAGGUCACUAAGUCUUAACUGACGCUGAUGGACGAAAGCGUGGGGAGCGAACAGGAUUAGAAACCCGUGUAGUCC
rnacentral:rRNA from 1 species